ACCCAAAAAGCAAGGGUUUUUUGCAGCCACAAAGAUAGAAUUGCCUGAUAAUAAUGGGCUUAUGCUGAUGGAUGUUUCAUGAGAUACUCCACCUCUUCCUUCUUUCCACAUUAUUACCAGCCCAUUGAUAUUACUUCCUUGGGCAAACAAGAGGAACAUUUAAUAUGCAAAAAUUAUGACUUAUUUGAAAACGAGUUAUCUAGUCUUGUCUUGUAGGUUCAAGUAAAAAGGGGGCCGUUAUCGGGGGAGUUGUUGGAGGAUUUGCUCUUGUUAUGAUCCUCCUGAUAUUAUUUAUCUGUAUUAGACGAUCAAAAUACUCGAAGAGAAUUCACAGAGGAUUUGAAGUUUGCAACUCAGAAUUUUAGUGAAGAAACUAAACUAGGAGAAGGAGGAUUUGGUGCUGUAUAUAAGGGCACUCUAAGGGAUGGGAAAGUGGUUGCAGUCAAGAAGUUAACUUUACUCCACUCCAAGAAGAUAGAGGAAGAUUUUUUGAGUGAAGUGAUGCUUAUCAGUGAUGCUCAUCAUCCGAAUCUUAUUCAACUUUUGGGAUGGUGUAGUAAAGGCCGUGACAGAAUCCUUGUAUAUGAAUACAUGAAGAACAAUAGUUUGGACAGAUUCAUAUUUGGUAUCUUGCAUCAACUAACAAAACUUAUAUAUAGUUUAUUAAGCAUUUGUUUGUUAUGCUUCUUAAUUAAUUAGUAACACUAUAUAUGACUCGUGAAUCGUUUACUCAACAAACAGGUCAUUACUCAUAUGUCAUCAUUUUAAUAUAUAACUUAAUGCACACAUACACGCACAUCAAUUCCCUGUGGUAAUAUUUUGA